CAUAACAUCGAAAUUUGCAUCCGACGCACACGUACUUUAACGAGCCCUUACAGAAGCAGCUCUCCCAAUUUCUCCAAAUUCUAAAUAACUAAGUUGUUGCCAUGCAGUUGCCACGGUACCCACAGCUUCUCCGCCCCUUUCGCCUUGUGCUCAGAAAUAAAGGUUUCAGAACAUCAGGAGAAAGUAGCAGCAGAACAUGGGUUAGUCCUAGCACAGCCCUUCAGGUUCUACUUUGAAUGCUUGCCAUGAUUGAUGGACAAAAGAGGCGACACUUACCCGCCUGAAGCCGACUCUUCCCCGCACCACUAAACGCAGCCAGCUGCUGCUCGGGAACUGCACGAGCGAACCCCCACCGGAAGCGGAGCUAGCGCCUGCUUCGUGUGAGCAUGCGCAAACUCCGCCGCGCUCUCAGAUGGCACGCAGACGCGGCUCCGCCCCUAACUCCUCCUUCUGUGGCGGAGGCGUCUCCCUCCGCCGCUCAACCCCGGAAGUGUCCGCGCGCAGCUGUCCUCCCACCGAGUUGGCUUUUCGUUUGUGUCUUACUCUGUUCCAGUUGGAAAAUGGGAGACUUUAAGUGCAACUGGAGAGUGGGACGAGGGGAUGGUGGCUGGUUGAGGAGUUUCCACUCUGAAGAAUAUAAUAGGAUCCAGAGUCCUCCCCCACCCUUGAGAAUUAGAGCCAAGGUUGGGCCUCCUUGGGCACAGCCGUAACAGGUGGACCCAUCUCCUAGACACUGGCUACAAAGGAUGACACUGGACACAAAAGAAGUCAGAACUCUGGGAAGAGAGAAGAUCUCAGGAUGCCUAGCAAGAAAUGAUACUGUGCAGGCUGAUCUGACUGAGUAAAACAAAAAUGUAUUUG